rnacentral:lncRNA from 1 species
CCCCCUUCCCUCUCCGGCUCUCCCUCUCCCUCUCCCUCUCGCCACCCAUCCACCGCCACUCAAUCUCCGGCAAUCGCAUCGACAACGCCGCACAGCCACCACCACCGCGACGCACAGUGGCAGUGGAUCUCUGGUCGCGCGCUAGAAGCCUUUGCUGCAGAUCUCGCACUGGACGGUGUCGAACUCGAUUGCGAAGAUGGCGGUGGCUGACGGACGACGAAGACGGUGCUGCUCUCUUCGAGGAAGAAGGCGUGGACUUCGCCGAUG